GCCUGGGUGGCUCAGUCUGUUGAGCGUCUGACUUCGGCUCAGGUCAUGAUCUCACAGUUGACGAGUUCGAGCCCCGCUUCGGGCU
rfam:Felis catus isolate Cinnamon breed Abyssinian chromosome F2, whole genome shotgun sequence.